rnacentral:rRNA from 1 species
UACAGAGGUCUCGAGCGUUGUUCGGAUUCAUUGGGCGUAAAGGGUGCGUAGGCGGUUCGGUAAGUUUCGUGUGAAAUCUUCGGGCUCAACUCGAAGUCUGCACGAGAUACUGCCGGGCUUGAGUGUGGGAGAGGUGAGUGGAAUUUCCGGUGUAGCGGUGAAAUGCGUAGAUAUCGGAAGGAACACCUGUGGCGAAAGCGGCUCACUGGACCAUAACUGACGCUGAGGCACGAAAGCUAGGGGAGCAAACAGG